UGCUGGAACACAGGCCUGAGAGCAGACAACUGGAAUCUGCGAGAGGAUGAAAAUCCCCAGCAGCCUUCACACAUGGGUGUCAAGAGAGAAACAGGGAAAGAGAUGGAUUUUCCCAGAGGAACAGC